AACCCAUAUAUGGGUUUGUUUAACUCUGAUUGGUUAGAGGUUCAUGUUAUAUAAGUUGUUAUAUAAGCACCAUGUGCUAUAAAGUAGCAAGGGGAGGGGCUCCUGGCUGGAGGGACUCUGCCUGAUUCUUUGUAUCGGGGGCUGUCUUUGUGCACAUGUUGAAUAAAGCUUUAUUGAAUUGAAUUGAAUCGCAUUGGAUUGAAGUCCCAUGAUUUCUACCCACCAUCAGACUCAUUGGGAACCACCAAAUCCCAACACAGUCAAGACAGAAA